UAAUUAUCAUAUAUAUGUUAACCUUAUUAGAUAAUUCUGUAAUUUUUAUUUAAGGAAAUAAUUGAGAAUAUUUUUUUGUAUACUACUAAUGAAUUUGAUAGUUAGUUAAAUAAAAAUUAUAAUAUAUAUUUAUGUAUGAACCAACCUUUUUUCUAAUGAUUCUAAGAAUCAUCAUAGUGAUGACACGUGACUACGAAAACAUGUGGUAAUGCACCAAAAUUAAUAUACAUGGGAUUAACAGACUAAAAUUCGAUGAAAGUGGUGUAACUGCUAUUGCAAAGUUUUGUUGGUUUUAAUAAUUCAAAGUUAGUAGGUGUUAUAUUUAAAAAAUUAUAUAUAUAUAUAUAUAUAAUAAUAAUAAUAAUAAUAAUAAUAAUAAUAAUAAUAAAUAACAUCAUGAGAAAUGCACAUUUGCACAUGCAAUUAGAAGCACUUAUUUAGGCUACGGAAAAUACAAUUCAACACUCACCAUGUCAGAUUUUUAGGAAAAAAUUAUAAUGAUCUAGUUUUGAUGGUUCAAAGACCGGCAGGCUAGCCUGGCUUUUCAAGGGAACUGAAGUAGUUAGCUUUACUACAAAGAAGAUUUCAAGAUUAUCUAAUAUUCAUUGGCCAAAACUGCACGUUUCAUAGAAUUUUAUGUUUUUUGGUUGUUUUAUUUCGGUUUGGAUUCUGAAACCAUAUUUUUUAACAAAUAAAAUGUUCUCUCAAUGUCAAAAAAUGGCACAAGUUACUAAAUCCACAAAACCAUAAGGAGAAUUAUGGGAAAAAGAGAUCAAUUGGUCCCUCUCUUAGAUAAAAUCUUUUUUUCCUUAGGCUACUACAAGUUUACUGACUUUCCUCUUAUAUUACUUUAUAUAUAUAUAUAUAAAUACUAGAUAAAAAAACUGUACUACCAAUGUUUGAAAUUAUAUUUGCAACUCAAUGGAUAGGUUAUUGCCUAAAAAUAAAACCAUCUACAUCUAAAGCCUGGUUAAAUUAUUAGUAACCAAACUUAUGUUAAUGUGAGUACCUUUUUGUUGUUUCAAAAAAAAACUGUACCUUUUUGUCAGAAAAAAAAAUCAAAUGUUGGAUAAAAUUUAAGUAUUUUUUUGCAUGUGUUAUCUAUGUUUCAUCCAUUACGAUAAUGUAAGUAAUUUUUUCAUGAGCUAUUUAUGUUUCAUCCAUUAAAUAAAGAAUAACAAAGAAAGAAAAUAAAUAGUUAUGGGGUCCCAAUAGUUAUGUAAAGAAAAUAAAUAGAUAGUAUUUUUUGCGUUGCUUUGUCACUCUAUCUCUCUCUCUCUCUUCUGCGUUUGAGGCAAAGACUGAAACACUGCUCGAUACUACUAUUUACUGUCGUACGAACAGACGAGCACACGAAGUCCACAGAAUGUCAAAAGUAUAUAUUAUUAAUUCAUCAUUACAUUAUCAUUUCAACUUUGAACCAACGUACACAUGCACUCUUUCAUUAGGUGUCCUGAUCUCAACGUUUGAUUUGUUGGGUCUCUGCUGCUCUGCUAGCCGUCAGAUCAGAUAUUGCCAACUGCUGCAAAGAUGUUAUACUGAACAAAGAAAGUGACCAGUAAAGUUGACGCUCCUUGUUUUCACCUUCAAGAGAAAUCUCUUUAUUUGAACAGAAAAAAAGAGAAAUCUACUUCUGCUUCCUUUUAUUAUUUUUUCUUCUUUUCAAAAAUAUAACAUCUAAUUGCAAAAAGUUAUAACGAUAAGAAAAUGUUUUUCUUUUCUUUUUGUGUAAAAACUGAUCGUCGAUCGAGCAUUUCCAAGAAAUAUAGAAUUUUCUAUAGGCUUUGAAUAAAUUCACCUCUUAUUUAGCUUGAUUUUAAAAUAUUCAUCACGAAGGAAUUCAAUUAAUUUAUUAAACAAAAUUCAACAAAAAAUAAUCUUUGCAUAUCCAAAUAUUUGAUUAAUAAAAUAUGCAUAUGUAGCGAUUAUAUAGAAAUCAGUGUUACAGGAAAAGUCAAGAUUGAACAUUCAAUAUCAAUCAUUAAAGAAAAAAUAUAAUGAGGCUGCAAUUUGAGGGAAUAAAACUUCGUUUCAGGUCUUCAAAAAUACCAAGGCUUUAACAUAAAUUUAAAGAACUUUCUUUUUCUUUCUAACACAUCUAUAAUCUACACGGUAGAAGAAGCUAGUAACUGUAAUGUGAAAUCAAACUUUAACCAAGAAUUGUAGAAAACAACGUUCUCAAAAAAAAAAAAUGUAGAAAACAGAAGUGGACGAAGCUGUGGAAUUUGCAUUGUUAAUUGAGUAGCUCGAGGAACCUUUGCAUGGGGAGAAGAUGUUAUUGGGGUCGUCAUCGUCCCAUCAACGUUAAUUCAAACGUCAAUGCGGAAGAGGUGCAUAAAUUAAUGUUUGCAUGGGGUACAUAUAUUUGAGAAUAAUAAUAGUAUAAAAGUUUAUCUUUUUUUAAUAGAAGUAUAAAAGUUUUUCUUGAAUAGAUUCAAUAAUGUCAAUCAGUUUUCUAAUAUUUAACAUAGAGACAUUAUUUAAUAUGUGAUUUUUUUUGAAUCUACUCUAUUAAAAAUAGAAUCAUUUUAAAAAUUUACUGGAUAAAAUUGUUAUAACUAGACCAAAUCAUUAAACAUUAACACAUAAAAAUAAAUAAAACAAAAUUGUUAUAUUUUUAUUCUCUAAUCUAUCCCGAUAAAAACAAUCACCCAAAACAGAUAUUGAUUUCAAGCUCAUCCACGAGGCCAGCCAUUUUUAUAUUAUUUAUACACGUGAAUAUAUUUCUUAUUUUCUCACGAAAGACAAUAAUUUAGUUUAAGCUAUUUUUACCGUUAACAAUUAUUUAAACCAACAUGUUAUAGACUUGUUUUCAACACAUUGAUAUCGGUUAUAUUAUCAACACUAUAAUAAUUCUUUUACCAAAAAAAAACACUAUAAUAAUUCUUUUGGUUAAAUUUGUACGGUUUACGUCAUCGCUUUAAUCAAUCAAUCCGGUUAAUUCCUUUAAAACCAAAUGUGUAGUUAUGUUAAAUGUAUAUAUUUAUCUUUUGAUAGUUUUUUCUAUAGAUUAUUGUACAUAUGUUUGUAAAUCUCAUGUACAGUGUUCAAGAAAGCGUUAUAGGCAGCCAUCUAGGCAGCAGCUAAGCCUAGGCAUUUGAUCUGAUAUCUGAAUCCAUAUCCACAUCCGAUCUGAAAAAUUUGAACUGAAGUAGGCAAAUAAUUGAACUAGUAUUGAAUUACGAGAGAUUAGAUAUCCAAAUCCGAACAUACAUCAUCCAAAGCCGAAUGGAUAUCCAAAGAUAACCAAACACAUGUACACUUCAUCUUAUAUUUCUAGUUUAUUUCUCUUAUUUUAUUUAAAAUAUUUAUAUUGAUGCUGCACAUUGCUCAAGAUCAUAUGAUAUACAUAUAAUUACCAAAAAAAUGAUUUGUCACUCACUUAAAAUGCAUGUCAAGCUCUUAUUUCGUACAUUAACAAAAGUUGCAUCCAAAUUUUUAAACAACAACCAAAUUAGUAUCUUUCUAUUUUAAAAACUUUUAUCCUCAAACCUAUUAAUUGUUUAAUCUAUUAAAAGUAAGAAAAUCAGCUAAAGGAAAUAUAUAUUUUAAAUACAAGAAACUUGAGCAAUAAAAAUUUUGAUUUUUUUCAAAAUCUAAAUAUUCGAACCCGAUCUGAAAUAAGCAAACCCGAACUAUACACAAACCUGACCAAAGUGUAGAAAUACCCGAAUAGUUUCUAUGCCACCAUAUUAAAUCUCGAAAAUGUGAAAUACUCGAUUUGAACCCAAAUAAGUAUUCGAACGUCCGCCCUUAGGCAGCGCUUUGGCUCUAGGCCUUAUAAGAUCUUGGUGAUGAUUAUCUUCUAAAACGCCAAAAUAAUUACAAUAUUGCAAUGAUAAAUAAUAUAUAGUUUGUUUUUCAUAAAAUAAUUAAUAUGUUAUUAUAUAGAAUCUUAUGUAAAUAACUUAAUAUAAAUUUCAUCAUUGGUAAAUAAAUAUAUUUGAUAUAGAACAUCACAUAUAUGUAGUAUAUUUUUAUAAUAUAUAAAUACCUAACCGCAUAACUAAUAAUUUAGGCGUCCGUUUAGUUGUUGUGCUAGGCACUGAGUCACCGUCAGCUUAGCCCAUAUCGUUCUCUUGAACAGUGCUCCUAUAUAACAUGUUUAUAUAUUUUCAGAUUGAUAUUUCAAACAGAUUUACGUUAUUGUUUUAGUCAAACUAUCCAGUUCAAGUAUUUUGGAUUUAUAUUAAUUUAUUGUUAGAAAAUUUAAUUUAUAGUUGGUAAGAUUCAUCCCAGUACAUUUACAGUUUAUGGUUUAGGUUUACUAAAAAUAUCAUGCAUACAAUUCGGAUCUAGCUCUAGUUCAGACUAAAAAUAUAAUAAGAAAAUAAAAAGGAAUAAUGCAGAAAGGAGAGAAGACAUAUAAUAACAAAAGAUAAUAGUUUACUUACAGGACAACGGAUAAUAAGGCGAAAUUCUCGCGGGAACCAACGCCUCCUUCUUUCUAUCCCUUCGGUAAUUAAUGAAACAGACAAGAGAAAUACGUACAAACACAGAUACUCAUAUACAUACACAUUCUCUCAUUAUAUAUAUAUAUAUAUAUAUAUAUAUAUAUAUAUAUAUAUAUAUAUAUGGACUUUUUAAUAAAUUACCUUCAAGUUUUUUUUUGAAACUUAUUAUUUACCUUCAAGUUUUUUUUGAAUGAUACCUUCAAGUUUAAUACUUGGAUUCGAUUUUAAUUUUACGCUCGAUUUACUAAUCAUUUUAUGGUAACUGCUACUGUUCCAUUAAAAAUAUUCAUUUUUAUAAAUUAUCAUGCUUAUCUUAUAUAUAGAUAUUUUUUUCUUAUCUUCUAUAUAUAUACACUUUAUUUUUCAGCAAAUAUUCAUCCUAAACUGAUUAAUGAUUAAAUAUAUAUGUCUAGCGUCAACAUUUUAUCAUAUCUAACCACAUGGUUGCCCAUAUUAAAGUGAUGAUUACGUCAGAUGUACCAUUAAUUAACAAAAAAUUCGAAAGAUGACACAAGGUGAUAAAAAAUGUAUUGCUGGAAAACAUAUAGUAUAGUAUAUAAACGAUACCAAUAUACCAUAAUAGUUAGAAAGCAGUUAAAAAAAUAAAAAUAGAAAUGAUCAUGCUUAUCGUUGCGGUCAGAAUUUACCAAUCGAAACCAUAACAAUAUAUUCUCUUAAAUUUAUUUAUUUCAUCCCAUUUUCGUAGUAAUUUAUCCGCACUUAAAAAAUUUAUUCAUCACAUUUAUAUUCGUUUCCAUACUAUUGUAAGGUUAUGGUAAAAACACAUAGAUGUAGUCCAUAAUACUGCGGUUAAAAAGUGAUAAAACGAAAAUAUUGUUAGCAAAAGGUAAAUAAUGAAAAGGUCAAAAGACAAAAAUAAAGAGCAAAUGUCAGACGGUGGGGGAAGAAGUGACGUGUGAAGAGUAGGAAGUGGAACCAAAGGGAAAUGGGAAUGACUGUCACGAGUUAGUAAGGAGUAGUAGUAGGGGACCAAUCAGCGACAAAACUUCCUCAAUCGCUUUGUAAUCUUAUUGAUGCCUCAUUCACAGUCCUGUCAUUGUAUAACUUUCUUGCCUUUCCUUUUUUUUGUUCUUUCUAAAACAUACACAAGAAUUGUCAAUUCUAUGUUGUCCUAAAAAAUAGAAAAAAGAAUUGUCAAUUCAGUUAUAAUUUCUUUUUCAUUAUAUUCACAUUUGUGUUUUGAUAAAUUCUUUGGAGCCUUUCAAAUGGCUAAUAUACGUGAAAAUCCAUCCCAAAUUUUACAAGCCCAUGAUUAGAACUAGGUCCAUGACCAUAUCAAACUCAAGAGCAAACAUGAGGCCGACGGGGUUGAAUCGGAGCCCGGAGCUCUGCGCUUCAGUUUGCGAAAUGAGAGAAAACACACACAGACACACAAUUAUGCGUUUUUUUCUAUUUUUGUAGAUGACAAAUUUUUCAAUAUCAUUUUUUACACACGUUAAAUUUAUUUCCGAAUGUUUAUGUUUGACAAACGAUGUAGAGAACAAGUUCAAAGAUUUCAAACUGACCGGAGUUUGUGGUCAAGUGAUAAGGGGAAGGAUUUGGGAUAUCACCAUAUUUCAGGUUCGAUCUAUCUGUCAUGCGAAACUAAGUUACAUUUCUUGGUCACCCUAUAUAGAUAUGCACUAUUAUUUUUCGGUCCAUUUAAAUAUUCGGGAGAUGGUCUAUCCGUGGACUACACUUCUUACCCGAGAGUUAGGUAUGUGUCUUUAAUAGAUUCAGAUUUAACCCUUUUGAUUUAUUAAAAAAAAACAAUUUCAAACUGUUUUGUUUUUGCAUUAAGUUCUUUCCAGCUUACUCCGAUUUUAGUUAUUUCAUACAACUGAUCAUCUGAAUCAAUGUAGAUAAACCAAAUUUUUUUCCUUUGUUGAUUAAUACAUAUUACAUUUCAACAAAAAAAAUGAUAUAGAGAAAUCAGAACUGGUAAACUAACUAAAAUCAAAACUAACGUCAGAAACGACAGUAGUGUCAAUAACUCCAUCAAGGAGUAAACCAAAUUUUUAGACUCCGAAAGCCUUGAACCAACCAUAAGGAAGACACACUAACUAAAAAAAAUUACCACGGAUGUAGCGCACUGUUUAAAAAUUCUAUCUUUCUUUUAUUAUUUUCAAUAUCAUCUUUUUUUCUCUCUACGGUAAACAGUUAUUCUAUUACUUAAAUUUGAGGUGUUCUAGGUAAUCAGACUGGAAUAGAACAAUCAAUGUAACAAAGCUUUUUAUGAAUUAAACAUGGAUUUCUAGCUAAAGAAUCAGUUAUUCCAUUUUGUGCUCUUGUGAUGUACGAGAUUUUAAACUUUGAAAAGCAUAGCUGAAGAGUCUGAAAUUGCCUCCAAUUCUGUUACAAAACUUGGCCAAUCUAUGGGUCCUUUAUCAUUGCAAUCAGAUCUUUACAAUUUGUCCUAAAGUUCUAGCAUAAUGUUGGAGCAUAUUUUCCAUAGCCCAUCUUAGUGCCUCCAAUUCUGUGUGCAAAGCAGCCUCUCGCCUUCUUAAGUUCUGCAUCUCUAAAAGUUGGAUCUUUCCCAAGUUAUCCAUCCAAACCCAUCUGCACCCACUGAACUGAGAUGUAGAGGUCCAUGAAGCAUCCACCAUAAAAAAUAUUACACAAGCUUAAGACUUGUGGUUCCUCAAUCUUAUGUUCAUGUGGAGAUGAUGGUACUGUCUCAUUUUCAUUAAACCAAGCUUGACAUUUAUUUUCCGCAUAUCUGACAAGCUCCAAAGGAUCCCUAUAUAUCUCCCUAAAGAAUUUAUCAUUCCGAGCCUUCCAUAUAUAUCAUAUUAUCUAAGAAUAAGUAUUUAUGUCCAAUUCUGGUUCUUUAAUGAUGUUCCUCCUCCAGAAUAGAUAGUCCAUGUUGGCAUAUAUUUUCAAUAUCAUCUUACAACUUAAAUCUCAUCCAUAUAUAUGAUGUAUAUUCCGUUAGUACAUAUAGAAAACAUAUAUUAUACUACAAAAAUAGGCUAUUUUAACUUUUUCGAUUAAAUUUUAACUUUUUCUGUAAAAUUUUGCGAGGUUUGAUUAUAUUUUCAUUUCUGUUUAAGUUUUAAUUUUUUAUAUAAUUAUAGUGUAUCUUGCUAUAAAGCGGUAAAUAUAUAUAUAUAUAUAUAUAUAUAUAUAUAUAUAUAUAUAUAUAUUGAUUUUUUGUUUACGGAUUAGUAUAACGAUAAAUGAACUUAAAUGAAUUAUGAUUUUUGUUUUAAUUUACAGUGAUUAUGUUAUUAUAAAAACUAUUAGGAACAGUCUCUCUUUGUAGCCAAUGACAUGUGUUUGUUUGUAGCUAAUUACAUAUGUUUGUUUGUAGAUCAAUGUUCUCUACUAGUAGAAAAUGAAGUCUGUUUAGUGACUUUUGUACCCAGUGAAUUCACUCGUAGAGUUUGACUGUAGCCAAGUAACUCUGUUUGUUUGUAGAUUAAUGUUCUAUGUUUGAUAUGGGUUCUCUGUUUUGCAGGCAAUGAACACUAUUUAAUGACCUCUAUAGCCAACAAAUUUUCCUAUUGAUUUUGAUUAUGUACGUUUUGCUUUGCUUGUUUUAGAAGAUUUAGUUCCAAUUUAAGAUAGCCAUCCGGAACAAGAAAUGCCUUACAUUUCCUUACAUGCUUUUUAAACUGUUUUGGAAGUUUUAUUUCAAAUUUAGGAUAACCAUCCAAAAAAAAGAUUACCUUAAGAUUACCUUACACGCUUUUUUUUGAAAUAUUUAGUUCAAAUGUCUUUGAUUCACAGCCGGUUGAUCUUUUUGAGAUCUUUUUUUGAUCUUUGUAACAGGUUUUCAAAAUAUGGUUGAAGUUUUUAUGUUUGUGAGAAUGGAGUUCAAAGGAAAUUUUCCAGUGGGAGUUUGUUGUGGAUAAGAACAUGACUACAUUGUUUAUUAACUUAAAAGAAGAUUCAAUAUGAAGAAUUGCUGAAGAUGUUUUCCGAAGAUUUUUGAAUUCAAGUGGAAGACAUAACUUUGAGUUAUGGGAUUUAUUUGGAGUUGAAAAGCACAGUUGAAGAUGUUUCCCCAAUCUCCAUUGAAAACACUCGCCAAUUAAGAAGUUUCAUCGGUAAGAUUAGUGUAUUUGAAGGAGUCUGUCGGUUGUGUAUAAAGGUUUGUUGCUUUAUAUCAACAAAUCGCUAUUCAGGAUAAUCUUCCUAAUUAUUUACUAAACCUUUCAAAACAACUUGAACCUUGUUGUGCUUCUCGAGUUCCUUUGAAUUCUAUUCUAAAUUUUGGUUCUAAUGUGCAGAGAAAACAAUAUGUAAAUUGUUUUCAAAUCUCUUUGUGUGUUUGUAUGAUUUUAUUCUUCUUUAGACUAUUCAUGAUAGUCUUCCUAAUCAUGUACUAAUCCUUCCUAAACAACUGGAAUUUUUCAGAUUUUUCCUUUUCAAGGUGUCUCUGCGUGCCACUAAGCUGUUUUGUUCAGAUUUUUUUUUGUGAUUAAGAAAUAUUUGUAUGAGCAUACAUGUGAUACAACACAUAGAAAUGCGAACCACUGAUGAUUCUCUUCAGCAUAGCGGCCAAAAUACUAUGUUCCCCUUCCCUGAAGCUCUCAGAUUUUGUUGGACUCUUUUUCUGUGAGAAUCUUUUUAACAGUCUUGAUAUAAGCAUCGUUUGAAUGUUGGUUUAUUGAAACUCUUUCCUCUGGCUCUGAACUAAUAGCGUACUUCAUCUCAGGCCGGACUAGUUUGAGAGGUAAUGAAUCUCUCAUCGUGUUACUAUCAUGUUUAACCAAGCAAACAAAAAAUCUAAAAUUUGUUAACAUCAGAGUUUAUGGAAAGCCUUCCUGAAACUAUACAAAUCCUUCCUGAAAAAAAAACCCACAAAGUUUCACAAGCACAAGAAAUCGACUAGAAAUGUCAUAAGCAAAUUCACGAGCCUACCAAACAUACCAACAUGCGUAAGCCAAACAAGACACCAAGCAAAAAGUUUUUCAAAUUUGUUAACAUCAGAAUAUCUGGAAAGCUUUCCUAAAACUACACAAAUUCUUCCUGAAAUUUCAAAAAACUACAGUGUCACACACACAAGCAAGAGACUAACAAUAUCAUAAGAAAAUUCACGAGUCUACAAAACAUAUCAACAUGGGUAAGCAAAACAAGACACCAAGCAAAAUUUUUUAAAAAAAUUGUUAACAUCGAAUUUUCUAGAAAGCUUUCCUGAAACAAUCCAAAUCCUUCCUAAAAUUUAAAAAAACUACAUAUUUUCACAAGCACAAGCAAGAGACUAACAAUGUCAUAAAAAAUUCACGAGCCUACCAAAUAAAUCAACAUGCUUAAGCCAAAUAAGUAAAAUAAAGAACAAUUUUACCAAAAUUUCUUUGUGUCAUUGGGUGUUCAAAAUUUCUUACCAAAAUUUUUAGAUGGUCACGAGAUUUUUGUAGGUGGUUUAAACUCCAAAACUUGUUUGUAGCUCCUUCCUGAAAUCAAACAAGUAAAAUAAAGAACAAUCUUCUCAGAGAAAUGAAUAAACACUUAUCUUAAAAAGAUUAGUAUCUAAGGGUCUUUCCUUGUUAAAUAGGCCUUUCACCACAGUGUUGCAGCUACUAGCCUACUACGACUAGGCUGCAAUUUUCAAAUGGCAAAAGUUAACAUGAAAUCGUAUUAAAUUCUUAGACGUGAGAUUAAACAGGAUUAAGACCUUGCAGAUGAGUUGCUAUCAUUGGUAUUAAAGUAGCCUAUCUGAGACAUAUCCCACAAACAAGCUUAGAAUAAAACUACUAGACAAGAUCAAAUAGAAUACAUAAACAAACAAAAAGGACAAUCUUUUGAGAGACUGGGAAAAAAGCAAGUACCUUGGAGGGAAAUGGAAGCUUAGGCUUGGCGAAGAGACCGAAAAAAUUCUUCGAGUGAGAUGAAUUUAUUUUGAAUCCCAAUGGUGCAUUUAUUAUAACGGUUAUUUAAAAUUUGCCGGGGUUUUUAAUGGUUGUUGUUUUCCUAUAUCAUAAAUAGUAUAUUUUGUAACAUUUUUAUUACUUAAUAUAUAUAUAUAUAUAUAUAUAUGUAUUAUCAUAAAUAAAAGGAAAUAAAAUAUUAUUUCUAUUUCUAUUUAACUUCUUUUUUUAUGUUGGAUACUUAAUCUACUAAUUUAGAGUCGUAUUGAAAUUUAUUGUGGUAUUUUUAAAAUUUAUUAAACAUGUUGUGACUAAAUAUAAAAACACGAUUUAUAUACAAGUUUAUAUGGUAGUCAAUAUACUUUAACUAAACAAACUUAUAAUUGUACCAUCGUUUAUAAAUUUCAUUAAUCAAAAUCGCAACCAAAUCGAAUUUUUUAUGGUUAUCUAAUAUAAUAGAAUAAUAAACUUUAAAAAUUGGUUCUUCUUUUCUACUUAAAAUAUUGCUUGACUACUGAAAAUAAUCUUCUCUAAAUCAUUGUGAAAAAAUUCUACUAACAUGAUUAUUUUCUCUGCCUGAAGUAUGGUUUGACUAUUGAACGUAAUUGGACAUUGUUAGUGUUUAGUUGUGUCUCUUCAAUUGAAGAACUGUAUCUGCAACAAAUCAUAAUCAACUCAAUUCAUAUUUGUCCAAUUACAUUUGACUUACCAUUAUAACAAUAUGUACACUUAUAUUUGAUUAGAAUAAUAAACAUAAUUACACUUAUGUCAUAAACAUUAUAACAAUAUCUAUCGUUGGUCAAGGUAAACAUUACUUUUACAGGAGGGAACUACAAAUCUACAAGCGGUAUGUCAUAAAUGUUCCCUAAAUAUCCCAAUUAUAUUAAUAUUCUAUAAUCGAUUUCUAAACAGUAUACAAAACUAAAAACUAUUAUAUUAAUAUUCUAUAAUCGAUUUCUAAACAAUAUACAAACUAAAAUUGGGAUAGAUAUUCUGUUUGAUGAACUUAUGAUAAUAUUGUACACUUGAUUUUAAGACAAUAUACAAAUUUUAAAACUAACAAAUCAAAACACCUUGAUUUUAAACGAUAUAAAAAUUUUUAAGCUAACAAAUCAAAACAACAUAUCUUUCAAACAAUUACCAAACUUAUAAACAAUAUAUGAUUAAAGAAUAAUUUGAUUGUUUAUUUCACCAUUGUAUAUCUAAAAAUAACUAAUCAUCUGGAACAAGCUAACAAACAAUAUAUUUUGUCCCUAGAAAGUAUAAUGAAUAUGUAUAUGAUCGAACAAUCUAACAAAUAACAAGCAACAUAUUUUGUUCUUAAAGACAAUAAAAUAAAUACAGCUUCUCGGAUUAUAACUCCACCAAGAGCUCUGAUACGACUUUAAAAGAUCAAAGCAUUAGAAAUAACAAUGGUUUCUCCUAACAAGAUAAUUUUUUUGAAAGAUCUCAAACCAUACAAACCUGCAUGGUGAAUAGAGAUUAAAAUUAUCUAUUCAUGGGUUCUGAUAUACUAAAAAUGAAACAUAGCUACUGUCAAGUUAACAGUGGUAAUUGUAAUAUUUGAGAUUCAAUCCAGAAGACCAGUUUACUCUUUACUCUUAUGAGUUCAAUACUAAGCUGAGAAACAAGUGGGAUUUUGUAAAUUAAUUGCGACGCAAGUAACUAAAAUACAUAGAGAUUCAAAUUCGAUUUAAAUGAAAGUCGGCUUAGGGUUAUUUAUCGGGUGUCAAUGCAGAACCGAACAACUAUUCAAGAACAAUUAUUCAACUAGUCUAGAACUCAGAUCACUCGGCUAGAACAAUCCACUAUCGUGGUCUUGCUCCCUUUGCAGAUCGGUCUUGAAUCCUAAGUUCUCACUUGGAACAAGACGCGAUAACAAGCCUUAGAGAUAAGAUCCGAUUAGUUCACCUAAUACCCUAACUAGAACCUGACCCGCGCGCCAGCGCGGGUAUGAAUUUUUGAUUAUUUAUUUAACUAAAUGAUGUAUUUGUAAUAUUUGAUGUAUUAUAUUCACCAAAUAAAUUUUUUUUUGGCAUCUUAAACCAUCUAUUUAUGAUGAAUAUUCGAUAUCAUAUAAAAAAUAGAACAAACAGACGUAAUUAGAGAAUUGUAAACGAUAUAUAAAAACAAUGGUUAUUAAUGUAAAAUAUGAAGAAAUAUUAUAUUAUGACUUAGUAUGGCAUAAAAGAUUAUAAAUUAGUUAUACAUCUUUAAAGAAAAUAUAAUGAUUUUUAAACUUCUACGAAAAAUUUAACAUAUAAAAAAGGGCGAUGAAUUAGUCAUCAAAUUGUAAAUAAUUUCAUAAUUUUAUUAAUAAUAAAUUAUUUAUAGUCUUUGUUUUUCGUCAAGAUAAUUAUUAAAUGUCCAUAACAUUAAUAUGUUAAAAGGCCAUAUUAUGAUAGCCCAUGUUGUAACCGUUUUUUUCCGGGAAGUGUAACAAAAAAACUCUUCGUUUUGUUUAAGUUCUAUGUCGGUAAAAGAUUAAAAAAAAUCUUUCUAUCUCUUUCAAUGUUCAAUUUGAAGCUUAUUAUGCAAAAAUCAUACGCAAAUAUAGGCAAUGGAUUGGAAUCUCUAUAUCUUUAUAUUCUUACAAAUUUUAAAUUUACUAUUUUCUCUUCUGCAAGCAAAUCAAUUACCGAAGUAAUAUAUCAAUUGGUUGUACUCAAAUCUAUUCUUAUAAUUAGUCUAAUUAUUAUGGUUACAGUUUCUAUAUUUAAUAGGUACAUUAUGGAUACGACACUGAAGAUAUUCUGUUUUGAUUAAUAGAAGAUAUUGGAUUUUGAGUUUGUAUUUAUUGAUUUAUUUUUUUAUAAAGCUUAGAAAUUCAAUAUCAUGAUUGGUUGGUUGAUACAUCAUAUAAGGAAAACGAAAACUAUAGGUGGUUUGAAUAUUGUACAUCGCUUGAUGCAUUAUGUAAGUGGACUAUAUAAAACUUGAGCAUGAUCAUUUCAAACUAAAGUAUAGGAAGGUUAUAUGCAUUUGUUAUACUGUAGUUAAUAUAUUUUAAAUAUUAUAUACGUCAAGUGAUUCACGUUUUCAUAAAAAUAAAAUUCAAGUUCAUUAUUGGGCCGUACUUGUCCGUAAUAAGCUACGUUAAAUAUGAUGUAUUUUUAGGUUCAUUUAAUGACAUUAAGUUUAAAUUUGAUUAAAGGAAACUCAUUAAUUUAACUGAAAAACAUAAGCAUUAAAAUAUGUAAGUUAAUUUAAUGAUGUUAAGUUUAUAUUUGAAUAAGGACAACAAAUUAAUCUAACUGAAAAAGACAAGCAUUAAAAUAGGAAAUUCAAUUUAAUUCUCAGUGGCAUGAAAAUGUAAUUAACUUCAAAAACUUAGGGGUAUUUUUUAAUGGGUACUUCUCUUUUAAUAAUAUAGAUAUCUACUCUCGCUGAUUAGGGAUAUAAAGCUCAUUCAAUAUAUGUCAAUUUAUCUCCUAAGCGGUUAGCUAGGUGAUUAAAUCAGAGAUCGAACAUUAAGUGAUCAAUUCAAUGUACGCAGUAAGAACAAUAUGAAUGAAGAACAGUUAAGAUCACUUAUUUGUGUUCAGUUCAUGCGACUAACACCCUACAACCCUAAGCAAGCUUAGUCUACUACUCAAUCAUAAAGCAGGAUGACACAGACAUGGUUUCUAAAUAAUACUGCAUGUAAAAUAAAGUAGAAAGACAAGGGUUCAUGAUAAUCUUCUCGUGAGAAUCAGAGAUGAAGCCUUCUCCCUUACAAGUUUCUUAAUCCAAAAUAGUUCUAGGUCUCUCGUAAAACUAGCGUAGUCUAAUAGAAAUGAUAGGAUAGGCUUUUUAUAUGGAGGCGCUGGUAGAGAAGUGAGGAGAGAUAGAAUCUAGGGCAAACUCCCGAAAUUGGAAGUUUCCUUAAUGAGUGGGAACAGUCAGCCGCUUGUUCUCUUCGGGAACAUCCUUCGGAUUGGUCUGAUCGGCUGUUCCGCAUCGGGUAUCCCAAAAUAGCAUCUUUCUUCAUGGAUCUCUCUUCUUUGUUCUUUUAGCUGUUCCAAACCUGGAAUGAUAUCAAAUAAGCACGAAUUAGGACUGAGAUUUAGCUCAAAGCACACAUAUAAUGCUGUUAGAAACAUCAUAUAUCAGGUUCAAACACACAACUUUGGUAACGAUUAUUUGGAACUGAUUCUAGCAGAUCAAAGUGUAAGUUUCAUUAUUAGGUUUUUUAUGUAUUGUUCUUAUUCCAAGUUUAAUAUUGUCUAUAAAACGUAUCUAAGUUUUUUGUAUAUUGUUUAUCUGUUAUUAACCAUAAUGAGUUUAUUAGGGUGUUAAGAUAUAUUAAUCAUGUAAAAAGAUAUACCUCACGUAAAGAAGAAUCUUCAGGUUGGCAUAUGAAAGAUUAUUGAUGAAUUAUCAGUUGCAUCAGCUAUUCAGAAACUGCAGACCUACAAGUCAUAGUUACAAGCUUAACUUCGUCAACAAUACUACAGUCACCGAUUCAUCUGUCAAACUUGAUGAUAAUUUUUUAUCAUACACCAUUUGAAUCUAUUUUUAGUGGAAGUUUAAAAGCAAAUUUUCUAAUUAGAGAUAUAUUGUGUUUUUGGUAUAUUAUAUGUAUGUCUUACUAAUAGUUUUCAAGGUUUUAUCGUGUCUUUAUAGUCCUUUUGAGUCAUUACAAGUCUGAGAGUCUAAUAGGUGGGAAGAAUGAUCGUAUGUAGCGAAAGAAGGAAGAAAAGAGCCUGACUUGAAGGUUUUUACAACCAGAACAGUCAGGCAGACUGUUCUCGCAUUAGUGGAGCACUCCGAUAGCCUGUUCCCUGAUACUUCAGGAAAUAAAAGAUUCUAUUUCGGGAUUUUCCCUAGUUUUUCCUAUUUUUCCCUCUAGCCGCAUGUGGCUCCUAUAUAUAUUCUUAUUUUAUUUACUUUAUGACCUACCUUAGUUCUUAUGCAAGAAAGACCUUAGAGAGCCUUGAGAUUUGGCGAUUGCUACUUGUAAGGGAGAAAGCCUCAUCUAUCUCCUAGAGAAGAUUACCCUGAACCCUCUGAUUUCUAUUAUCUAUUAUAUGCAAUAUUAUUCAGAAAUCAUGCCUCUUUGUUCUUGUGUUAUGAUUGAGUAGUCACCGAGUUAGUUUAGAGUUCUAGGGUUUUAGAUUCGUGAACUGAAGCAUAAAUAAGUCAUCUUAAGAUUGUCUACAUUCAUAUAUGUUCUUAUUGCUUGCACUGAACUGAUCACUUAGUGCAUGAAUUAGGGUUAAUCAAUUUAGCUCUGUUGGUUGAUAACUUGAUAUGAUUUGAAUAAGCUUUGCAUCCCUAGUGAGCGAGAGUAGAUAUUAGGGUGUAUUGUGAACACAUCGGAAUUGAUCUCUAAAGCUUGCUAUCACGUCUUGAUUGAAACGAGAGUUUACGCAUCAAGGCCGAUUUGCAAAAGAAUCAACACCACAACAGUGGGUUGUUUUAACUUGAGUGAUCCGAGUUUAGACUUGUGUAAACUGGACUUGAAUAACUGUUUGGUUUGCGAUUUCCUUACCUGAAGAAGAAAUCCUAGACUAGCGCCUUUAAUAAAUUCGAAAACAGCCUCACUUUGUUACUUGUUUCUUACGUUACCUUACUUCUUUAAAACUCCACUUCUGUUUUAGCUAAAUUUUGAUCCUGUGAACUGGUCCUCUGGAAUUGAAUCUAAAGAUAUUACAACUACACUGUUAAGUUGACAGUAGACAAAGAUCCAAUUUUAGUGUAUCAAUUAGCAAUAUAUUUUUAUAGCAUAAUCAUUUUAUGUUUUGCUAAUCUCCAAUAUUUGGUAAUUAUAUAUGUUAUUGGUGAAGCAAUUGAUAUUGGAGAUUUUCAAAUUUUCCACGCACAUGGUAAAGAAAGUAAAAAAAAUCAGCUGUCUUUAAAAGACAAGAAAUGUUAAGUCCUUAUCUAUUUUGAAGUCGUAUAUCUUUUUUAAAAUCCAUCUUAUUAUUAUUGGAUAUGGAUAUUUGCAGUGAUCAAAUUGUAUCAUGUUGUCCAUAGAGUCGUUUUGCUAAAAAAAAGUUGAUUAUUAAAAUCUAAAGAAACUAAAUUUAUCACUUUGGUAAGAUUUGCUAAAAAAAUCUUUACAAAAGUAAAAGGAUUUUGUAUGGGAGUUAUAAUUGAUUAGGCAAAAUAAUUAAUUAUGUGAUCAUUCAUCUAUAAAUGACGUCGUUUAUAAAUAUUUGCAGGGCAAUUCCAAAUAACAAAUGCAUUUGACAUAUCUAAUGUGAUCAUAAACCCUCAAGGAUCUGAUGUUGAAGAGUUUCUCAAAAUAUAAGUUAAUAAAUUUUGUAUUGCAAAUGUUGUUUGUUAGUUUUAAGUGAUACAGAUUUUGUCAUGUGAAAUAUUACAGACCAUCUAGUAAUAAUCUGGCUCUAGCAAGUUGAGCUCUGAAGAUUUGAAAAUUGUUAAGAAAUGCAAAAAAAGAUCACUGGAGGCAUUGUCUAGAAAUAUCAAUAUCAGAAGAGCAAUUGCACUCCGUAUACACAAAAAUAAGAUUAUUUAGCUAUGUGGUUGUGCCACUGUUGUAUUUUCAAUAUUCCAAUAAAGUCCCUAUAACUAGAAUACGAUUACAGGGAAAUAACUACAGAGAAAUAAUCAAAGCGAUUCACUUCAGAGACAUGUUUAAAACCUUCGAUCGAAGAAGAGGACAGAUGAUAGAUUGAUUCUUUUUUGAUGUUAUGUUCCAUGUUGAGUUUGCUUAAAGAACUUGUUUCAGUUUCUUUGGUUCUAUAAACAGUUUCCAAGAUGAAGACAACAAGGGGGAAAGAUAAAGCUAAGAACACCAAGGAAGCCUUGAAGCCUGUUGAUGACAUGUUCAUCCUCUGAAACUAUAUAAAGGAAAUAACUUUCUUGCUGAAUCAUUGUCUUUUGUUGUUUGAUCUCAAAUAUAAAGGUGAAAGCUUUUUCUUUCAGAAAGGUGAGAAAGAGGAAGGCACGGCUGAGAAGGUUAGCAUGCGGGAGAAGAAGGCCAAGAAGGAUCCAAACAAACCCAAAAGAGCUCUCAGUGCCUUAUUUGUCUUCCUGAAGCGCAGCUAGAAAAGGGAAAAGGCAGGAGAUGUAGAGGAAUAUGACGAUGAUGAUGCUAAUGAAGACAAGGAAAAAGAAAGACUAUUGCUUCAAUAUUAUUGUGGGAUAUCUGUGUAAUUUCACUGCUGCUUUUCUAUCCAACUAGCUAAAUAAUUUUUUUUCUGCAUAGAUUGCUAAUUAUCUUUUGUUUCUUGUUU